GACGAACGCUGGCGGCGUGCUUAACACAUGCAAGUCGAGCGGUAAGGCCCUUUCGGGGGUGCACGAGCGGCGAACGGGUGAGUAACACGUGGGUGACCUGCCCUCAGCUCGUGGGAUAAGCCGUGGGAAACCGGGUCUAAUACCGGAUAUGACUCCAUGACGCAUGUUGUGGGGUGGAAAGCCUUGUGCGGCUGAGGAUGGGCCCGCGGCCUAUCAGCUUGUUGGUGGGGNGAUGGCCUACCAAGGCGACGACGGGUAGCUGGCCUGAGAGGGCGGACCGGCCACACUGGGACUGAGACACGGCCCA
rnacentral:rRNA from 1 species